AGAACCCAAAGUGGGUCCAGGGGGCCCAAAGUGGGUCCAGAGGGCCCAGAGUGGGUCCAGAGACCCCAAAGUGGGUCCAGGGGGCCCAAAGUGGGUCCAGGGGGCCCAAAGUGGGUCCAGGAAACCCAAAGUGGGUCCAGGGGGCCCAAAGUGGGUCCAGGAAGCCCAAAGUGGGUCCAGGGGGCCCAAAGUGGGUCCAGAGAACCCAAAGUGGGUCCAGGGGGCCCAAAGUGGGUCCAGGGGGCCCAAAGUGGGUCCAGAGAACCCAAAGUGGGUCCAGGGGGCCCAAAGUGGGUCCAGGGGGCCCGGCAUCCUGCAUGU